CAGCCGCCGCGGUAAUACGUAGGGUGCAAGCGUUAAUCGGAAUUACUGGGCGUAAAGCGUGCGCAGGCGGUAUAUAAGUCAGAUGUGAAAUCCCCGGGCUCAACCUGGGAACUACAUUUGAGACUGUAUGGCUAGAGUGUGUCAGAGGGGGGUAGAAUUCCACGUGUAGCAGUGAAAUGCGUAGAUAUGUGGAGGAAUACCGAUGGCGAAGGCAGCCUCCUGGGAUAACACUGACGCUCAUGCACGAAAGCGUGGGGGGCAAACAGGAUUAGAUACCCCCCGUAGUCCCUGUCUCUUAUAC
rnacentral:rRNA from 1 species